AGUGAACGCUGGCGGUAGGCCUAACACAUGCAAGUCGAACGGCAGCACAGUAAGAGCUUGCUCUUACGGGUGGCGAGUGGCGGACGGGUGAGGAAUACAUCGGAAUCUACUUUUUCGUGGGGGAUAACGUAGGGAAACUUACGCUAAUACCGCAUACGACCUACGGGUGAAAGCAGGGGAUCUUCUGACCUUGCGCGAUUGAAUGAGCCGAUGUCGGAUUAGCUAGUUGGCGGGGUAAAGGCCCACCAAGGCGACGAUCCGUAGCUGGUCUGAGAGGAUGAUCAGCCACACUGGAACUGAGACACGGUCCAGGCUCCUGCGGGAGGCAGCAGUGGGGAAUAUUGGACAAUGGGCGCAAGCCUGAUCCAGCCAUACCGCGUGGGUGAAGAAGGCCUUCGGGUUGUAAAGCCCUUUUGUUGGGAAAGAAAAGCAGCAGGUUAAUACCCCGCUGUUCUGACGGUACCCAAAGAAUAAGCACCGGCUAACUUCGUG
rnacentral:rRNA from 1 species